rnacentral:rRNA from 1 species
AUUGAACGCUGGCGGCAUGCCUUACACAUGCAAGUCGAACGGCAGCACGGGUGCUUGCACCUGGUGGCGAGUGGCGAACGGGUGAGUAAUACAUCGGAACAUGUCCUGUAGUGGGGGAUAGCCCGGCGAAAGCCGGAUUAAUACCGCAUAUGAUCCACGGAUGAAAGCGGGGGACCUUCGGGCCUCGCGCUAUAGGGUUGGCCGAUGGCUGAUUAGCUAGUUGGUGGGGUAAAGGCCUACCAAGGCGACGAUCAGUAGCUGGUCUGAGAGGACGACCAGCCACACUGGGACUGAGACACGGCCCAGACUCCUACGGGAGGCAGCAGUGGGGAAUUUUGGACAAUGGGCGAAAGCCUGAUCCAGCAAUGCCGCGUGUGUGAAGAAGGCCUUCGGGUUGUAAAGCACUUUUGUCCGGAAAGAAAUCCUUGACUCUAAUACAGUCGGGGGAUGACGGUACCGGAAGAAUAAGCACCGGCUAACUACGUG